GACUGUUAAGGGAAGAUCACGCUAGAUGCGUCAUAGUCAUGGUGAUGGGCAGUGGUCAUGGCACUGAGAGCUGUUGGAGAUCAAGAAGCUUUUGGACAAUGCUUUCAGAAAUAAGAUACUUCUCUUGAAAACAAGAAAUCAACUGUUCAGUGAGAAUUGCCACAUAAGUAGCACUGAAAAUAUUGGGAUGAACAAUAUUCUACCUUCUCUGAUGAGCACUCUACUACAGAUCUUGACGAGGUUGAUCCUGGAAGACCAGUCAUCUAAAGCUUGAUGCAAAGUGAAAUAUCUUUAGGAAGAUAUUGGCUGAGAUAGCCUCAUUCCUGGUGCCAAACACGCAAUAUGUGCACUGUUGUAGAAGGUAAAAUGUUUAAAAUCCUUGUAGAGAAGAAAAUAAACUGUGGUUUCAAAAUGACUGUAAGACUGUUAGAUAAAAACAGAUUUUAUUUAUUUCUUCAUUUAAAGACAGUCUUUGAAAUAUAUCCUCUGUGACUGUGUCAGACUCAACAAAUUCUAGCCCUGAAUUCAACCUUCAAGUUUAUGAGGGUGUCUCUUUAUAUCUUGAAGAGAAAUUCAGUUUAAAGAAACCUGUUUACUGAUAUGUUAGGUUCAGCUGCUCUGUGUGCUCAGACUUGUUAAUCCUGUUUUGAAGUGUUUAACUCUCCUAAUAAAUUAUGUAAGUCAUCUAAA